rnacentral:rRNA from 1 species
UGGGGAAUAUUGGACAAUGGGNGAAAGCCUGAUCGCAGCCAUGCCGCGUGAAUGAAGAAGGCCUUUGGGUUGUAAAAGCUUCUUUAAGUGGGGAGGGAAAGGUUGAUGUGUUUAAUANCAUAUCANANNGACGUUAAAUACAGAAGAAGCACCGGCUAACUCUGUGCCAGCAGCCGCGGUAAUACAGAGGGUGCGAGCGUUAAUCGGAAUAACUGGGCGUAAAGGGCACGCAGGCGGUUAUUUAAGUCAGAUGUGAAAGCCCCGGGCUUAACCUGGGAAUUGCAUUUCAUACUGGAUAACUAGAGUAGGUGAGGGAGGGGUAGAAUUCCAGGUGUAGCGGUGAAAUGCGUAGAGAUGUGGAGGAAUACCGAAGGCGAAGGCAGCUCCUUGGCAACAUACUGACGCUCAGGUGCGAAAGCGUGGGGAGCAAACAGGAUUAGAUACCCUGGUAGUCCACGCCGUAAACGAUGUCUACCAGUCGUUGGGUCUUUUAAAGACUUAGUGACGCAGUUAACGCAAUAAGUAGACCGCCUGGGGAGUACGGCCGCAAGGUUA